UUAUUUCAGACCCUUACUCAGUAGGAACGAACCUUUCAACUGACAAAACAAAAUGUGAACCCUUUGUAAACCUUUUUAGGCAGCUGUGAAUAGUAAGUACAAGAAGUGAAAAAUAUUCUUCUCGUUUAAAUUUUUCUACAAACUGUUCAAUAAUUAUUAUUUCAUGAAAUGUGAUCAUUUCUACUUUUACGUUCCAAACACGAACUGUGGUGUUUACUAAAGACUAUUAUAUAUAUAAUACCAGAUUUUUGUCACUCGACCAUUUCAGAGUCCAGGAACGAGCCUCAUGAUAUUGAAACAAAGAUCACGAGAAAAGACACAGACCUCCGCCACUACCCUUACUCAGUAGGAACGAACCUUUCAACUGAAAAAACAAAAUGUGAACCCUUUGUAAACCUUUUUAGGCAGCUGUGAAUAAAUCCAGCAACGAGCCUCAUGAUAUUGAAACGAAGAUCACGAGAAAAGACACAGACCUCGGCCACUGUGAGAUACUGCUGUAACCAGACAUUUCAAGCUAUCUUAAUGAACAGUUUGACUAGUAAUAGUAUCAACCUACCACUG